UACAGAGGGGGCAAGCGUUAUUCGGAUUUAUUGGGCGUAAAGGGCGCGUAGGCGGCCUGAUAAGUCAGGGGUGAAAUCCCUCGGCUCAACCGAGGAACUGCCUCUGAAACUGUCUGGCUUGAGACCGGGAGAGGGUGGUGGAAUUCCCAGUGUAGCGGUGAAAUGCGUAGAUAUUGGGAGGAACACCGGUGGCGAAGGCGGCCACCUGGACCGGUUCUGACGCUGAGGCGCGAAAGUGUGGGGAGCAAACAGG
rnacentral:rRNA from 1 species